AAAGAUAAUUAUGCUCGUGGUGGUGGUAGUGAUGGUGGUUGUGGUCUUUGUGGUGGAAAGAUAAAGCAAGUUGCAUAAGGGAAACACAUUGAUAGUGACAUUGUUAUCGAUCUUGAUCUUAGUGGAAAGAUAAAGCUACGGAUGCAAGGCGUAAAGUACCGGAUAAAGGAUACAAUUUUGAUAUCCUAUGUGAAUUUCUACCUGAUGGGAUGCCCCUUGAGAAAUGGAAACGAACGUGGCUGACAAACAAGCGGGUAAAACAAUUGGAUACAAGAAAGUAUUCCUACAGACCCACGCCACUAAGAAGUGAAAAAAGUGUUACAAGAUCAGGAGAUGAGCGAAAAUGAUUUUGAUUCAUUAGAGUUUGUUACCAACCAUGCAAAAUGUUCAUAUGCCGUGUACACGUUACAAGUAAAAAAGUUGUAUGGGGACAAGGAUUUCGAUGAUUUAGCCGUGUAGUAGAGUCUGCUUCUUGAGUGUAAGGGUCGUAAGAUGUUCGGCAUAGGAUCUUCUGCUCCUGUUUUUGUGGUGAUUAGAAAACCAUCUUCCAGAACUUGCGGUCAUACGAUGAUGCCUCGACAGUCGCAUGAGGUAUCAUUAUUGUUCUUGUUAUUUUAGAUAUGGUCAACAUUUUUAGGACAUACCUGUUAGUGAAGGUAAUAGUUUACGCCUAAUUGUUGAGAGACUAUUGAUUUUGAGGGAAUAUUUUUGCCCCUAAUUGUUAAGUUAAUAGUUUAUGCCUAAUUGUUAAGUAUCUUGUACGCUACAUUGAGAACACACUUAGAGAACAUGUUAUGGACCUAGAUUUUGUUUUUAAUUGAUUGAGUACAAUGUAUUGAAGGUAGAUUGUUGUUUCAUAUAUGGUGGUGGUUUUGAGGUUUGUGUUAGGUUUUAAAUAGGAAGUAUGAGUUUGCUGAUAUGGGUUUGUUGUUUGCUGAUAUUGGCGUGUCGGGUUGGGUCACGUGUCAAGAUGGGUUCGGGUCAAAAUGGGUUGGGUCGCGUGACAAGAUGGGUUCGGGUUAAAAUUUAUUUUCUAUAUAUACAUACACAUAGACAUCUAUAUACACAUACAU